rnacentral:rRNA from 1 species
GACGUAGGGGGCGAGCGUUGUCCGGAAUUACUGGGCGUAAAGAGCACGUAGGCGGGAUUUUAAGUCAGGUGUGAAAGACCGUGGCUCAACCACGGGGUUGCACAUGAAACUGGAAUUCUUGAGGGCAGGAGAGGAAAGUGGAAUUCCUGGUGUAGCGGUGAAAUGCGUAGAAAUCAGGAGGAACACCGGUGGCGAAGGCGACUUUCUGGACUGACCCUGACGCUGAGGUGCGAAAGCGUGGGUAGCAAACAGGAUUAGAUACCCCUGUAGUCCCUGAGCGGG